rnacentral:tRNA from 1 species
GGGGUAUAAGGUAACUUGACUUUUAAUCAAGUUGUCCGGGGUUCGAAUCCCCGAUGCUUCA